UGCCAGCCGCCGCGGUAAAACGUAGGACGCGAACGUUAUCCGGAGUUACUGGGCGUAAAGCGCGGGCAGGCGGAGAGGCAAGUUAGGCGUGAAAGCUCCCGGCUCAACCGGGAGAGGCCGUCUAAGACUGCCUUUGUGGAGGGCAGCAGAGGAGCGUGGAAUUCCGGGUGGAGUGGUGAAAUACGUAGAGAUCCGGAGGAACACCAGUGGCGAAGGCGACGCUCUGGGCUGCACCUGACGCUGAGCCGCGAAAGCAUGGGUAGCGAACGGGAUUAGAUA
rnacentral:rRNA from 1 species